rnacentral:rRNA from 1 species
AUUAAACGCUGGCGGCAUGCCUUACACAUGCAAGUCGAACGGUAGCGCGGGGCAACCUGGCGACGAGUGGCGAACGGGUGAGUAAAGCAUCGGAACGUGCCCUGGAAUGGGGGAUAACGUAGCGAAAGUUACGCUAAUACCGCAUAUUCUGUGAGCAGGAAAGCAGGGGAUCGCAAGACCUUGCGUUCUGGGAGCGGCCGAUGUCGGAUUAGCUAGUUGGUGGGGUAAAAGCCUACCAAGGCGACGAUCCGUAGCGGGUCUGAGAGGAUGAUCCGCCACACUGGGACCGAGACACGGCCCAGACUCCUACGGGAGGCAGCAGUGGGGAAUUUUGGACAAUGGGCGGAAGCCUGAUCCAGCCAUGCCGCGUGAGUGAAGAAGGCCUGGU